rnacentral:rRNA from 1 species
AUUGAACGCUGGCGGCAGGCUUAACACAUGCAAGUCGAACGCGUGGCGGACGGGUGAGUAAUGCCUGGGAAUCUGGCUGAUGGAGGGGGAUAACGACGGGAAACUGUCGCUAAUACCGCAUACCAUAGGAUGAGCCCAAGUGGGAUUAGGUAGUUGGUGGGGUAAUGGCCUACCAAGGCGACGCUCUCUAGCUGGUCUGAGAGGAUGACCAGCCACACUGGAACUGAGACACGGCCCGGACGCCUACGGUAGGCAGCAGGGGGGAAUAUUGCACAAUGGGGGCAACCCUGAUGCAGCCAUGCCGCGUGUAUGAAGAAGGCCUUCGGGUUGUAAAGUGCUUUCGGUGAGGAGGCGUUAAUCGCAGAAGAAGCACCGGCUAACUCCGUGCCAGCAGCCGCGGUAAUAC